CACGUAGGGUGCGAGCGUUGUCCGGAAUUAUUGGGCGUAAAGAGCUCGUAGGCGGUGUGUCGCGUCGGCCGUGAAAACCUGCAGCUUAACUGUGGGCUUGCGGUCGAUACGGGUGGGCUGGAGUUCGGUAGGGGAGACUGGAAUUCCUGGUGUAGCGGUGAAAUGCGCAGAUAUCAGGAGGAACACCGGUGGCGAAGGCGGGUCUCUGGGCCGAUACUGACGCUGAGGAGCGAAAGCGUGGGGAGCGAACAGG
rnacentral:rRNA from 1 species